GACGAACGCUGGCGGCGUGCCUAAUACAUGCAAGUAGAACGCUGAAGGAGGAGCUUGCUUCUCCGGAUGAGUUGCGAACGGGUGAGUAACGCGUAGGUAACCUGCCUGGUAGCGGGGGAUAACUAUUGGAAACGAUAGCUAAUACCGCAUAAGAGUAGAUGUCGCAUGACAUUUGCUUAAAAGGUGCAACUGCACCACUACCAGAUGGACCUGCGUUGUAUUAGCUAGUUGGUGAGGUAACGGCUCACCAAGGCAACGAUACAUAGCCGACCUGAGAGGGUGAUCGGCCACACUGGGACUGAGACACGGCCCAGACUCCUACGGGAGGCAGCAGUAGGGAAUCUUCGGCAAUAGACGGAAGUCUGACCGAGCAACGCCGCGUGAGUGAAGAAGGGUUUCGGAUCGUAAAGCUCUGUUGUAAGAGAAGAACGAGUGUGAGAGUGGAAAGUUCACACUGUGACGGUAUCUUACCAGAAAGGGACGGCUAACUACGUG
rnacentral:rRNA from 1 species